CCCUUAGAUGUCCUGGGCUGCACGCGCGCUACACUGAUGUGUCCAGUAAGCACCUAACCUAUUCCGAGAGGAGCGGGUAACCUUAGCAAAGCACAUCGUGAUGGGGAUAGAUUAUUACAAUUAUUAGUCUUGAACGAGGAAUUCCUAGUAAGCACAAGUCAUCAGCUUGUGUUGAUUACGUCCCUGCCCUUUGUACACACCGCCCGUCGCUCCUACCGAUUGAAUGUUCCGGUGAGCUCUUCGGACUGCGCGGUCUGCAGUUUCUGCGUUCCGUGCGGAAAGUUGUGCAAACCUUAACAUUUAGAGGAAGGAGAAGUCGUAACA
rnacentral:rRNA from 1 species